rnacentral:rRNA from 1 species
GUACACGCUGUGACUAGCAUAUCAAUAAGCGGAGGAAAAGAAACUAACAAGGAUUCCCCUAGUAACGGCGAGUGAAGCGGGAAGAGCUCAAAUUUGAAAUCUUAAAGGGUUUCCCUUUACGAAUUGUAGUUUAAAGAAGUGUUUUUCUGUUGAGGUUUUGGUAAAAGUUCUUUGGAAUAGGACAUCAUAGAGGGUGAGAAUCCCGUAUUUGACCUUUACUUUCAACUUUGUGAUACACUUUCAAAGAGUCGGAUUGUUUGGGAAUGCAGUCCAAAAUGCGUGGUAAAUUUCAUCUAAAGCUAAAUAUUGGCGAGAGACCGAUAGCGAACAAGUACCGUGAGGGAAAGAUGAAAAGAACUUUGGAAAGAGAGUUAAACAGUACGUGAAAUUGUCAAAAGGGAAGCGUUUUGACACCAGUGUUGUUUUUCUGAAAAUCAAUUAAAGAACUGUUUAUGCUAAGUUGUUUAGACUUUAUCAGCUAACUGUUUUAGUUUUGAGCUUUUCUUUAAUGCACUUUUCAGUUAACAAGUCAACAUCAAUUUCUUUUGCUGUAAAAAAGCUUGAGGAAGGUGGCUUGAGAUUCGUCUUAAGUGUUUAUAGCCUCUUGCCUAUGCAGUCGGAGAGAUUGAGGUCUGCAGCGUAGAUCCUUCGGGGCUAAAUGCAUUUGUGCUAAGUUAUAGCAUUUUAUAGACAACUUGUUGACUAUGAUUUGUCUUGUAGCUUACUCGCUUAUGUUAUUUUACCUACGCUUAGGAUGUUGACAGCAGUAAUAGACUGU